rnacentral:lncRNA from 1 species
UAUCCCAUUCUAUUUUAUCCCAUUCUAUCCCAUUCUAUCCCGUUCUGUUCUGUUCUGUUCUGUUCUGUUCUGUUCUGUUCUGUUCUGUUCUGUUCUGUUCUGUUUGUUCUGCUCUGCUCUGCUCUGCUCUGCUCUGCUCUGCUCUGCUCUGCUCUGCUCUGCUCUGCUCUAUUCUAUUCUAUUCUAUUCUAUUCUAUCCUUUCUAUUUUAUAUUCCAUUAUAUUUGAUGAUACUGAGGAGGGAACCUGGGACCUUAAAAAUGACAACCAAAUGAUAGGGCACUGGAUAAUAACUCCCCAGUCUACCUACUUCUACCUCUUUUUUUUUUUUUGACAAGGUCUCACAGUGUAGCCAUGGCUAUUCUGGAACUCUAUGUAAACCAAGCUGGAAUAGAACUCAAAGAGAUCUUCCUGCCUCUGCUUUCCCAGUGGAAGACACAUUAGGGAAGUGUGGGACGAGACAGAACAGUCUUCAAUUUCCAUAUGACUCCGUGGUCAGUGUGACUCCCAAGGACAAUCAAAGCAGAACAACAACAGCUUAACCAGAAAUGAACGUCACAGGAGGACCGUGCAGCUGUGACGUCAAAGUCCCAGGGAUCACUAGAAGGACAUUUGAGAGAGUGUUCCGACUAUCUUUGGCCCUUGGACGAUGCGAACCUAUAUUCUCUGCAGAAGAUGAUACAAUCUGAUUUAGAAAAUAAGAUCAUUACUAGUAUCAUUCUGUAAAACAAGUUAAUCUCAUAUUUUUUAUAAGACUGGAGAGCUUAUCAUCAUCAAGGAACUCUGAAUUUGCAUCCCUAAUGCAUCCUUCUCAAAGAUUCUCAGGGAAGUAGCUGAGUCACCACUGAAGAGCAGCAUUUGAUAGUGCUUUUAAUGAAGCAGGCAUGGCAUGAGAUGGGGACAGACAGAUACUAGGAGUAAGAGGGACAGAACUCCUGGACAGGAGACUGGAAGCUUCCAGAGUCAAAAGUGCCCCCCUCCCACCACCAUUCUACAUGGAGCUGCCUACAGAAAGAAGCCAAGAGGCGUGAAAAGGACGGAGAAGGAUUAGCGAAGAGAGAACAGCAAGGCAACCCAGUGGGAUAGAAGUGUGUGUCUGCCAUUCUGCCUUAGAUCCCGGGUCCAGCUCUGCUACGAGAUCUCGUUAUGACCUCAGACUCAUUCUCUCCACAUUUGAAAAAAAAUAUUUAUUUGUAUUCAUUAUUU